AUUUACCGAUGUGGUUGUCCUCGAUGUGCUCGAUGAGGUCGGCCAGGGUGGGGAAGUGGAGUCCGCAGCCCCCGAAUCGGCAGAGAUGGAGUUUUGCCAUUUGCCCAGGCUGGACUCGAAGUCCUGGGCUCAACCACCUUGGCCUCCCAAAGUGCUGGGAUUACAGGGGUUCCUGUUGAGAUUAAAGUAAAUGCAUUUACCAGCAUACAUGUCAUGGAAGACUGACUCUGCACCAUGCUCUGUGACAAAAGGCUUCAAGAUUAAACCGGUUUGCCCUUCUACCGUGAAGGUGAGCCGUGAAGUCUAUUGCCCAGGGAUUGGGGACAUUUGUAUUAAAGAAGGUUUUGGAGUACAGAAGCAGGAAGAUGUGUUGUGGAGAUGCUGUUGGCAGAAACAACUGGCCUUGACUAAACAAACCAAGAGUUCCUACAGGAGCAGAGACAACUGGGUGAAGGCUGACGCCCUUGCACAGGCUUGGGCAGCUCUUCUCCACAUGUCCACGUGGCUCACUUCCUUACCUACUUCAGGGCUCUGCUCACACGUCACCU
rnacentral:antisense_RNA from 1 species